UACAGAGGGGGCAAGCGUUGUUCGGAAUUACUGGGCGUAAAGGGCGCGUAGGCGGCCGCCUAAGUCAGACGUGAAAUCCCUCGGCUCAACCGGGGAACUGCGUCUGAUACUGGGUGGCUUGAAUCCGGGAGAGGGAUGCGGAAUUCCAGGUGUAGCGGUGAAAUGCGUAGAUAUCAGGAGGAAUACCGAUGGCGAAGGCAGGUCUCUGGGCUGACACUGACGCUCAUGCACGAAAGCGUGGGGAGCAAACAGG
rnacentral:rRNA from 1 species